UACAAUGGACAAUACAAAGGGCAGCGAAACCGCGAGGUCAAGCAAAUCCCAUAAAGUUGUUCUCAGUUCGGAUUGUAGUCUGCAACUCGACUACAUGAAGCUGGAAUCGCUAGUAAUCGUAGAUCAGCAUGCUACGGUGAAUACGUUCCCGGGUCUUGUACACACCGCCCGUCACACCACGAGAGUUUGUAACACCCGAAGCCGGUGGAGUAACCUUUUAGGAGCUAGCCGUCGAAGGUGGGACAAAUGAUUGGGGUGAAGUCGUAACAAGGUAGCCGUAUCGGAAGGUGCGGCUGGAUCACCUCCUUU
rnacentral:rRNA from 1 species